rnacentral:rRNA from 2 species
UCGGAGGUCAGCGGCGGACGGGUGAGUAACACGUGGGCAACCUGCCUGUAAGACUGGGAUAACUCCGGGAAACCGGAGCUAAUACCGGAUAGUAUCUUGAACCGCAUGGUUCAAGUUGGAAAGACGGUUUCGGCUGUCACUUACAGAUGGGCCCGCGGCGCAUUAGCUAGUUGGUGAGGUAAUGGCUCACCAAGGCAACGAUGCGUAGCCGACCUGAGAGGGUGAUCGGCCACACUGGGACUGAGACACGGCCCAGACUCCUACGGGAGGCAGCAGUAGGGAAUCUUCCGCAAUGGACGAAAGUCUGACGGAGCAACGCCGCGUGAGUGAUGAAGGUUUUCGGAUCGUAAAACUCUGUUGUUAGGGAAGAACAAGUGCGAGAGUAACUGCUCGCACCUUGACGGUACCUAACCAGAAAGCCACGGCUAACUACGUGCCAGCAGCCGCGGUAAUACGUAGGUGGCAAGCGUUGUCCGGAAUUAUUGGGCGUAAAGCGCGCGCAGGCGGUUUCUUAAGUCUGAUGUGAAAGCCCCCGGCUCAACCGGGGAGGGUCAUUGGAAACUGGGAAACUUGAGUGCAGAAGAGGAGAGUGGAAUUCCACGUGUAGCGGUGAAAUGCGUAGAGAUGUGGAGGAACACCAGUGGCGAAGGCGACUCUCUGGUCUGUAACUGACGCUGAGGCGCGAAAGCGUGGGGAGCGAACAGGAUUAGAUACCCUGGUAGUCCACGCCGUAAACGAUGAGUGCUAAGUGUUAGAGGGUUUCCGCCCUUUAGUGCUGCAGCUAACGCAUUAAGCACUCCGCCUGGGGAGUACGGUCGCAAGACUGAAACUCAAAGGAAUUGACGGGGGCCCGCACAAGCGGUGGAGCAUGUGGUUUAAUUCGAAGCAACGCGAAGAACCUUACCAGGUCUUGACAUCCUUUGCCACUUCUAGAGAUAGAAGGUUCCCCUUCGGGGGACAAAGUGACAGGUGGUGCAUGGUUGUCGUCAGCUCGUGUCGUGAGAUGUUGGGUUAAGUCCCGCAACGAGCGCAACCCUUGAUCUUAGUUGCCAGCAUUCAGUUGGGCACUCUAAGGUGACUGCCGGUGACAAACCGGAGGAAGGUGGGGAUGACGUCAAAUCAUCAUGCC